UAAAAUCCUGCUGCUUCUACAAUCUCUUC
rnacentral:piRNA from 1 species